UGCUUUGGCCACUCAUUCGGCGAAAAUUAAUGGUGGUGUUCGGUUCUACGUCGCGCAAGGCAGUCUCUAGAGUCUCGCAGAGCUAAGAAUACAUCUUAGAAAAUCGGCAACAAAUAUCCAAGUUCAGCCAAGUUUGCUGUGUGUAGGCAAGCCAUCGAAAAGUUACGACCGAAAUAACGGCAGUUGUCGCAUAGCAAAUGCCAGUUGCAAAUUGCGAGUAAAAAUCGCAAAAUAAAGUGUGCGCAGGCGAAUAAAGAAACAAAGAAACACAAUUAACAAACGUGAAGUAACAAUCCGGCAAAGCAAAUAAACCCGAUAUCGAUUCCGAUCUGCAGCAGAAAAACGUACGUGUCCAUGCAUUGAAUUUUGUGCCAGCGAUUUUUGAAUCCAUCUCCCGUUUUGUCUUAGGCACCCAACAAAUAUACAUCUCUAAAUGCAUAAGCUAAGCAACAGUAUUUUUGCUCAACAAUAAAUAUACAAAAAUUUUGAACACGUAAAUACAAGAAAUAUUUUCGUAGCCGUGAUUAUUUGUUGCAUUUGAAUAAUAACUUUGAAGAUACGAGCAGCAGAGAACGCAGCGAGCUUAAGCCAACAACGUAGUACGACUAGUAAAAGACACCACCAAUUUAAUUUUAUCUAGAAAAAAACAUACGCAUAUGCAAGCAAAGUAGCCAAAAUAUCUAUAUGUUUAGUACGUGUAUUGGUCAUUUAUGAUUGAUAUACUCUCAUAGCAAAGUUAUAUUUACAAAAUCCACAACAUAAUCAGAAGGUGACCCCGCAAAAGACAAUUGCAGCGAUACAGACCGCCGAGUACGGUCAGAUCCACAUACAUUUUCAUCCAUAUCGCGUUAAGACAAAGCCAGCAAAAUAGAUACCAUGGAAGACAAUAACACGAGCAGCAGUGCGGGUGGUGCGUCCAUCAAACACGAGGAUCCUUCGGUGACACUCACAAUAAGGCUGAUUAUGCAAGGAAAGGUAAGCUAAACUGUGUUUUAUUUUAAA
rnacentral:sRNA from 1 species